UUUAAUUUGAGAGUUUGAUCCUGGCUCAGGAUGAACGCUGGCGGCGUGCCUAACACAUGCAAGUCGAACGAAGCAUUUCAGAUGAAGUUUUCGGAUGGAUUCUGAGAUGACUGAGUGGCGGACGGGUGAGUAACACGUGGAUAACCUGCCU
rnacentral:rRNA from 1 species